rnacentral:misc_RNA from 1 species
AAGUCGUAACAAGGUUUCCGUAGGUGAACCUGCGGAAGGAUCAUUACCAAUAUAACGCUGGCUGGGAGCCCCAAGAGCGUGCUUCGGCGCGCUGUUGCCCAGUCCGGCUGAAUAUUCACCCAUGUCUUUUGCGUACUACUUGUUUCCUUGGUGGGUUCGCCCACCAGUAGGACAACCAUCCAACCUUUUUGUAAUUGCAAUCAGCGUCAGAAAACACAUAAUUAUUACAACUUUCAACAACGGAUCUCUUGGUUCUG